CACAGGCCACGGCCGGUUAACCCACAAUUCUUGGUUUGAUUUAGCACGAAAAGCAGAAAUCAAAAAAUGGAGGGAAAUCGCCGGAUCACAAAGGGACGUGAGGAUUUACUUGCAAAGAUCAGAGACUUCACUUGCUCAUUGGUGAGAAAUCUAAGCGAGGGACGAUCUCUCGCUGUUUUCAUCGACAAAUUCAGAAACUACUGCACCAAUCCCGAUGCUAAUUGCUACUGCAGCUCUGAUUUGCCAAAGGGGCAAGAAAUUCUGUCUGUUAAAAGAGAAUGCAAUGUGCGUAGAAUAGAUGUCUUGCUACGAGUCCUACUCAUUGUUCAACAACUCCUGCAAGAGAACAGACAUGGGUCUAAGAGAGAUAUAUAUUAUAUGCACCCUUCUGUAUUUUCAGAUCAAUCAGUCGUAGAUCAGGCAAUCAAUGACAUAUGCAUCCUUCUGCAGUGCAGUCGUCACAACCUAAAUGUGGUCUCUGUUGGAAAUGGGUUGGUGAUGGGCUGGCUGCGAUUUCUGGAAGCUGAAAGGAAAUUUGAUUGCAUGAACUUUCCCAGCAAUGUGCAUCCCAUUCCUGUGCAUGUUGAUGAAGUCAAAGAUAUUGUUAGUGUUGCCAAAUACAUACUGGUUGUGGAGAAGGAAUCAGUGUUCCAGCGUUUAGCUAAUGACCGUUUCUGCAAUGCAAACCGCUGUAUUGUGAUCACAGGAAGGGGCUAUCCAGAUAUUCCCACAAGAAGGUUCUUGCGACUCCUCCUUGAGAAGUUGUGUCUGCCUAUCUAUUGCUUGGUUGAUUGUGAUCCAUAUGGCUUUGACAUCCUGACUACCUACUGUUUUGGUUCUAUGCAAAUGGCCUAUGAUGCUAAAUUUCUGCGUGUUCCUGAGAUACGCUGGCUUGGAGCUUUUCCAUCUGAUUUUGAGAAAUAUGGUCUUCCUCAACAGUGUCUGCUUCCUUUGACAGCUGAAGAUAAGAGGAGAACUGAAACCAUGCUACUCAGAUGCUACCUGCAAAGGGAAGUACCACAAUGGAGGUGGCGGAAAGUGUGGAAUGGGGAUUAAGUGGAGAUCAUUUUUCCUUUUCACAACAGCACCAAAAACUUCAACCAUGUCAAGAUUUUCUGGCGUCAGCCCUGCAGGGAGUUUCCAAUCAAAAUAGUACAGCAACUGUGCAAGUGGAAGCUCAACAUUAGCUAUGCCAAACAAUAUUCCUGGACAAAUCCUCCUUCCAGCACCAAAUGGGAUAAAUUCAAAGGAAUUCAAGGCCUGCACGAUCCUGAAGAUUCAGAAGAACGUCUACAAAAUCUUCUUCUUCAUAAUCAGCCCCAGAUUUUGCUGCUGCCUUUCUAGCUCUAUGUUCAUAGAUGAUGCUUUCAAGUAUCUUAUCUGCUAUUUGAUGAAGCCUCUCUAAUUUAGGCCUCACCGUACUAAUCACAUGAAGCAAUUUGAUGGAAGGGUAGAUAUCAGCAAGACUAAAACCGCCAGCCAAUUGUAUCAGUUUCUUAACUGUUGGUAUGAAGAUUUCUUCUCCCUUCCAUAUCUUACCAAAGGCUGCUCUUGAGGUGACGCUGUAGGUCAAAGAAUUGAACAUCCUGCUAAAGUUGAUUGGUGAUCCUGCACCAGAAGACAGGGUUCUAAUGAGUUUUGAUAUUUCUUCUUCCCUGAUUGAUCUAAAUGACUGCACUCUUUUCGCAGUUAGCAGCUCCAGCGUGCAAAUUUUUCUCAUUUGUCUCCAAUAGUUUCCAUAGGGAGCGAAUGCAAUGUCUGAAAAAUCAUAACCCACAAUACUUGCAGCGAGGAGAAAGGGCCUUUGAGCAAAUAUGACAUCAUGGGUUUUCAUCACUUCUUUAGCAGUUUCAGGUGAAGAAAUAACUAUGUUGGUAACUUCACCAAGUUGAAGGUGCAUAAGAGGUCCAUACUUUUUAGCCAAGUCUCUCAGGCGGUGAUGGGGUAGGGAGCCAACUAAAUGGUGCAUACUCCCUAUAAGGGGCAAUUUCCACGGCCCUGGUGGUAGAUUUGGAGAUGAGUUGUUGAUUUUUGCUUUCUUCCUUAUUCUCAAUACCAAGAGGAUGAAAAUGAAGAAGAUGAAAAAGAUUGGAAAGGAGAGAAAUUGGUGUUCCAUGUUGAAAACACAAAGUUUUCAGGGAAGAGGCUUAUGGGUUGAUUUCCACAUUGCACUUCAUCCGAGUAUUUGGAGGUUAGUAUGCUAUUACAUCACAUUUUUAAUUCUGGACUUGUCUUGUAGUAAGAUGGAUCGCAUGGCAUCUUAACAUUGCCAGAUUAUUUUGAUAUUCUUGUCUGUUGCUUAAUUAAAAAACUUUCUACUUCA